rnacentral:rRNA from 1 species
UGCCAGCAGCCGCGGUAAUACGAAGGUCCCAAGCGUUGUUCGGAAUAACUGGGCGUAAAGCGCACGUAGGCGGAUUAGUCAGUCAGGGGUGAAAUCCCGAGGCUCAACCUCGGAACUGCCUUUGAUACUGCUAGUCUAGAGUUCGAGAGAGGUGAGUGGAAUUCCGAGUGUAGAGGUGAAAUUCGUAGAUAUUCGGAGGAACACCAGUGGCGAAGGCGGCUCACUGGCUCGAUACUGACGCUGAGGUGCGAAAGCGUGGGGAGCAAACAGGAUUAGAUA